rnacentral:rRNA from 1 species
GUAGGUGGCAAGCGUUGUCCGGAAUUAUUGGGCGUAAAGCGCGCGCAGGUGGUUCUUUAAGUCUGAUGUGAAAGCCCCCGGCUCAACCGGGGAGGGUCAUUGGAAACUGGGGAACUUGAGUGCAGGAGAGGAAAGUGGAAUUCCACGUGUAGCGGUGAAAUGCGUAGAUAUGUGGAGGAACACCAGUGGCGAAGGCGACUUUCUGGCCUGUAACUGACACUGAGGCGCGAAAGCGUGGGGAGCAAACAGGGAUUAGAUACCCUGGUAGUCCACGCCGUAAACGAUGAGUGCUAAGUGUUGGGGGGGUUUCCGCCCCCUCAGUGCUGCAGCUAACGCAUUAAGCACCCCCGCCUGGGGAUACGGUCGCAAGACUG